rnacentral:lncRNA from 1 species
UGAACAUGNAAAAGAGAUUNAUUNAAAUGACANGAAGAAAACAAUGGAUGAAUGGAGUUGUUGGGGGUUUACAAUUUCAUCUAAUUCGCUCUCUCUUAUUUACUCCUCUUGAAUUAUUAGUUUGAUUAAUUAAUUGUCAUGCAACUUUCUUAGCCUACCCUUAACCCGAUCCCUCGGCAAAAAGAGCCUAAUAUUAAUUACUGGCUUGCUAUCCCUAGCCUCCCCUAGCAAUUAAUACAGCAUUAUAGAGCAGAAGUUAAA